rnacentral:rRNA from 1 species
AUUGAACGCUGGCGGCAUGCCUUACACAUGCAAGUCGAACGGCAGUACGGGAGCAAUCCUGGUGGCGAGUGGCGAACGGGUGAGUAAUAUAUCGGAACGUGCCCAGUAAUGGGGGAUGGCCCGGCGAAAGCCGGAUUAAUACCGCAUACGACCUACGGGUGAAAGCAGGGGAUCGCAAGACCUUGCGUUAUUGGAGCGGCCGAUAUCAGAUUAGCUAGUUGGUGGGGUAAAGGCCUACCAAGGCGACGAUCUGUAGCUGGUCUGAGAGGACGACCAGCCACACUGGGACUGAGACACGGCCCAGACUCCUACGGGAGGCAGCAGUGGGGAAUUUUGGACAAUGGGCGCAAGCCUGAUCCAGCCAUGCCGCGUGCGGGAAGAAGGCCUUCGGGUUGUAAACCGCUUUUGUCAGGGAAGAAACGGCUCUUGCUAAUAUCGAGAGCUAAUGACGGUACCUGAAGAAUAAGCACCGGCUAACUACGUGCCAGCAGCCGCCGUAAUAC